UACGGAGGAUCCAAGCGUUAUCCGGAAUUACUGGGCGUAAAGAGUUGCGUAGGUGGCAUAGUUAGCAGACAGUGAAAUCGUGUGGCUCAACCAUACAUCCAUUGUCUGAACUGCUAAGCUAGAGCACGAGAGAGGUAACUGGAAUUGCUGGUGUAGGAGUGAAAUCCGUAGAUAUCAGCAGGAACACCGAUGGCGUAGGCAGGUUACUGGCUCGUUGCUGACACUAAGGCACGAAAGCGUGGGGAGCGAACGGG
rnacentral:rRNA from 1 species